UACGUAGGGUGCGAGCGUUGUCCGGAAUUAUUGGGCGUAAAGGGCUCGUAGGCGGUUUGUCGCGUCGGGAGUGAAAACCCAGGGCUUAACCCUGGGCUGGCUUUCGAUACGGGCAGACUAGAGGUAUGCAGGGGAGAACGGAAUUCCUGGUGUAGCGGUGAAAUGCGCAGAUAUCAGGAGGAACACCGGUGGCGAAGGCGGUUCUCUGGGCAUUACCUGACGCUGAGGAGCGAAGGUGUGGGGAGCGAACGGG
rnacentral:rRNA from 1 species